UUUGCAAAUGGAUCAGGAGGUAGCCAGGACACAGCUCAGCUCACUUGUGCCCAGACAGAGAAAGAGUUAAGCUGCUGACCCUGAAGGCAAGGGAGAGCCGGCUGUGCAGCUCUGUGUGUGGGAGCUGCUGGACUAAGCAACCGAGACAGGGCAGACCGU